rnacentral:ncRNA from 1 species
AUUAAAUAUUUAUUUAAUUAAUAUAAUUUAUAUAUAAAUAUAUAUAUAUAUAAAUUAUAAAAUUAAAUAAUAUUUUUUUAUUUAAAUUAAUAUUAAAAAUUUAUAUGCCAUGUAAUUUUAAAUAUUAAUGUUAUGAAGAGAGUAAAUAAUAUUAAAAAUUUAAGAAAUUAAGAUUUAGUAAUAUAAAAAUUAAUAACAAAUUUUGUGCCAGCAGUUGCGGUUAAACAAAAAUUAAAAUAAAUUUUAUUAGUUAUUUAUAAAUUAAUAAAUAAAUUAGUUUAAAUAUUAAAUUAUUAAGUGAAAUUUUAAUUUGAAGUAAAAUUAUAAAUUUAUUUAAAAAGUUAAAAAAAUUAUAUUUAUAAACUAGGAUUAGAUACCCUAUUAUUAAUAAUUUAAAAUAAUAAAUGCUAAAAUAGUAAUUAAUUAUUUAUUGAAACUUAAAUAAUUUGGCGGUAUUUUAGUUCAUUUAGAGGAAUCUGUCUAAUAAUUGAUAAUCCACGAAUAAAUUUACUUAAUUUAAUAUUUUGUAUAUCGUUGUUAAAAAAAUAUUUUUUAAAAAUAAUAAUAUUUUAAAAUUUAAAAAUAAAAUUAAAUCAGAUCAAGAUGCAGAUUAUAAUUAAGAAUAUGAUGGAUUACAAUAAAUUUAUUUAAAUGAAAAUUAAUUUGUAAUAAUUAAUAAAAGGUGGAUUUAAAUGUAAUUUUAUUUAAUUUAAUAAAAUGAUUAAAAAUUAAAAUAUGUACAUAUUGCCCGUCGCUUUCAUAUAUAAAUUGGAAUAAGUCGUAACAAAGUAGAGGUACUGGAAAGUGUUUCUAGAAAGAU